AAAGUCGUAACAAGGUUUCCGUAGGUGAACCUGCGGAAGGAUCAUUAUCGAAUGAAUGUAGAGUCGGUUGUUGCUGGCCCUUUCGGGCAUGUGCACGCCUUCUCUUUCAUCCACACACACCUGUGCACUUGUGAGACGGAAACCCCUCGGGGUGUCCGUCUGCUCUACAUAAACUCAUUAAUAUAUAAACUGAAUGUAAUCGAUGUAACACAUCUUUAAACUAAGUUUCAACAACGGAUCUCUUGGCUCUC
rnacentral:misc_RNA from 1 species